rnacentral:tRNA from 1 species
UCCGUUGUCGUUCAGCCGUUAGGAUGUCUGGCUUUCACCCAGGAGACCCGGGUUCGAUUCCCGGCAACGUAA